rnacentral:rRNA from 1 species
GAUCCUGGCUCAGAAUCAACGCUGGCGGCGUGCCUCAGACAUGCAAGUCGAACGAUUAAACUUUCCUUCGGGAAAGAUAUAAAGUGGCGCACGGGUGAGUAACAUGUAAGUAAUCUACCUUCGAGUGGGGAAUAACAUCGGGAAACCGAUGCUAAUACCGCAUAAUGCAGCGGCAUCGAAAGAUGACAGUUGUUAAAGGAGCAAUUCGCUUGAAGAGGAGCUUGCGGCAGAUUAGCUAGUUGGUAAGGUAAUGGCUUACCAAGGCUUCGAUCUGUAUCCGGUCUAAGAGGACGGUCGGACACACUGACACUGAAUAACGGGUCAGACUCCUACGGGAGGCAGCAGUCGGGAAUUUUGGGCAAUGGGCGAAAGCCUGACCCAGCAACGCCGCGUGAAGGAUGAAGUAUUUCGGUAUGUAAACUUCGAAAGAAUGGGAAGAAAUCAAUGACGGUACCAUUUAUAAGCUCCGGCUAACUACGUGCCAGCAGCCGCGGUAAUACGUAGGGAGCAAGCGUUGUUCGGAUUUACUGGGCGUAAAGGGCGCGUAGGCGGCAAAUUAAGUCAGCUGUGAAAUCUCCGAGCUUAACUCGGAACGGUCAGCUGAUACUGAUCUGCUAGAGUGCGGAAGGGGCAAUCGGAAUUCUUGGUGUAGCGGUGAAAUGCGUAGAUAUCAAGAGGAACACCUGAGGU